rnacentral:lncRNA from 1 species
AGGGGUUUUAGAGGAGCUCGUCACAAAGAGAAGAGGAGGAUGAAAAGGGAAAGAAUGACAAGAAUAGAGUUGGAUGAUGGUAGAACAGGAUUUUGGUUCGGAUUGGGUAUUGGGCUUGGAUUCGAACUUAAAACUGAUCCGAUUAGAUUCAAAUUGGAUUUAAAUUUUAAAUUUUAAAAUAUUUUUAAAUUUGAAUCCAAUUUGAAUCCGACAAAAGAUUUUAGAUCAGAUUCGGAUAGAGCUUGACCC